ACUGUCAAUCCUGCUUGUCCCUCGGCCCUAGCAACUGAAGCAUCCUAACGACGCCUCGCGUGUCCCGAGGCCUCUUAGCACAGAGCCCAGGACGGACCCUGAGCCUGCAGGCAGACAGAAAUCUUACAAAUGUUAGAAAGUCCAAAAUCCAGCAAGUCCUCUGUACUAAGUGCCAAAGAAUCAGCAAAGAAACUUAAAAGUAAAGGAGAAAUGAAAGCUAAAGGAUCAGCCAAAGGCAAGCGAAAACAGCUUGGUA